AACUCAUGGAAAUGCAAGGUUUAUUCAUGCUCCAAAAAACCCAGGGUUUUUCCACCGUCUCUGCUGCUGCGUCUCUUAUAAAAACUGGUCCUGAAGAAGUGAAGGGUUUAUUCUUAUGUCAGGGGGAAUAGCGAGAAGAGAAGGGGCCACGGGGACUUUUUUUGAUAAAGGAAAACCAUCCAGAAGCUGUUGGGGUGGGGAAUCAGAACCCAGGAUUUCCUCUCCCUUGAUCAGCAGAGAGACUUCUGGCAGCAGAGAGCUGGAUAGUCAGGAGACAUUUUGCAAGGACUCCACAACUGAAGCCACACUAACAAGGUGACGUGAACCCCAAUGGCUUCACAGCUCUAUGUUCUCAUCAGCUGGCCUGACGGGAGCAGAGUCAUCAAUAUAGAAAACAUCAAAGAGCCCCAAAAACCAGUUCACCUGUAUUCAGUGGGUGAGCAGGUGCUAGCCCAGUGUCCCGGCUUCUGUGGCUUAUACUGGGGGGUCGUGGAAGACGUAAGUGAGUGUCAGGAUGUCCUGGAGAAGAAACUUCAGAAAGAGAAACACCUACUUAAAAAAUUCAAGAAGGGGCCAGAAGCAUUUGGCCCCCUGCCCACUGAUAAGAAGUCGAAGAAGAGUUUUCCCAACUGGGUACCGGGCAUACCACCAAAGAAAAAUCAAGGUGGCAGAAUUCUUCCUGUUGACUACCCAUCGGUAUCAGCCCCCCAGAAUGCUCCUGCUGCUUCUCAUAUCACCUCUCCCCUUACCGAGGAAAGGGUCAUUCCAGAGCCACCCGUCAUCCACCAUGCCAUAACCCCACAGUCUCCGUUGGUCAGUGCUUUUAGCUUCCCCGCUUCCUUCCUGGAUCAGGAUGAAGCAGGGACAUCUCAGAAAGAAGAGGCAGACCCCCAGCUGAAGAAUGAAACAGAGACCAGAGGUUGUGUUACCCUGGCACUGAAAAGGAAGGCGGAUGGCAUUGUAGUUCAGUGUCAAGAACAUGUCCCCAGAGCAAGGGUUUUUUAUUCUCUUAGUUGUGAUGACCCCAAAAGCAAAAGCGCUCCCGAAAUGAACGAAUUUGACAGCUGCCAGAAAAGUUUCCGGACUUGUGAAAUGGAAAGGGAGAAGAUCGGCCAACUGGAGCGACUGGUGUGGGAUUUGCAGCGGGAAGUGAUUUCCCUGAAGAAGAAGGUUCAGAAGUUGGAAUCUGCAUCUCUGCGGGAAGAAGCCCCCGGACCACAGUUCCAGAUGGUGGAGUUGUUCAAUGGCUACACCAGGGAGCAGUUGAGAGAGACCAUCCGCUUUGACCAGAAGGUCAGCACAGCCUGCAAGACGCUGCUCUAUAAGCUCUUCACCUCCGACUACAUCCAGAGCCACUCCAUCACAGGCCGCAGGGGAAACACUUUUAGGGAGGCCAAGCCCAUGAUGGACGAGCGCUGCAUCAAGGUCAUCCGCCUCCUGUUGAAGCAGAAGUUCGGGGAUCACCUCAGUGACACAGUCAUCACCGAGAAGAUCCAAAAUGUGCAGAAAGCUCUGAGGCAGAAGUACAAGGCAGAGUGUCUGUAA
rnacentral:lncRNA from 1 species